AGUGAGCGCUGGCGGCAGGCCUAACACAUGCAAGUCGAACGGCAGCACAAGAGAGCUUGCUCUCUGGGUGGCGAGUGGCGGACGGGUGAGGAAUGCAUCGGAAUCUGCCCAUUUGUGGGGGAUAACCUCGGGAAACCGGGACUAAUACCGCAUACGACCUACGGGUGAAAGCAGGGGAUCUUCGGACCUUGCGCAGAUGGAUGAGCCGAUGCCGGAUUAGCUAGUUGGAGGGGUAAAGGCCCACCAAGGCGACGAUCCGUAGCUGGUCUGAGAGGAUGAUCAGCCACACUGGGACUGAGACACGGCCCAGACUCCUACGGGAGGCAGCAGUGGGGAAUAUUGGACAAUGGGCGCAAGCCUGAUCCAGCCAUGCCGCGUGUGUGAAGAAGGCCUUCGGGUUGUAAAGCACUUUUGUUGGGAAAGAAAAGCAGCCGGUUAAUACCCGGUUGUCAUGACGGUACCCAAAGAAUAAGCACCGGCUAACUUCGUG
rnacentral:rRNA from 1 species